CAAAAUAUUUCAAUGCUACACUCACGGUGGAUUUAGGGGGAGAUAUUAUGAGGCUGGUGUCAUUAGGCGAUAGCUAUUGAAUCAUUCAAUCCGAAUUCGUCGUUCUUUUUUCCUUGGCAAAUUUCAUUCUCUCUCAGGUCAUUUCCAUGGUUUUCAGAUCGCCUUUAGAGCUUUAUCCCUCUCAUUUCUUCCUGCCAAACUUUGCUGAUCGCCCUUUGCUCUUGGCGAGCAGUGCGCCCAGCACCAGGUCUCCCGAAGACUUGUCAAUGUUUCAGCUACCGACCCUAAACUUCUCUCCAGAGCAAGUGGCGAGCGUCUGCGAGACGCUGGAGGAGACCGGGGACAUCGAGCGGCUGGGUCGCUUCCUAUGGUCGCUUCCAGUGGCGCCGGGUGCUUGCGAGGCGAUCAACAAGCAUGAAUCCAUCCUUCGUGCCCGGGCUGUGGUUGCCUUCCACACAGGCAAUUUUCGCGAUCUCUACCACAUUUUGGAGAACCACAAGUUUACCAAGGACUCGCAUGGUAAAUUACAAGCGAUGUGGCUAGAGGCUCACUAUCAGGAGGCCGAGAAACUACGCGGGCGUCCCCUAGGACCGGUUGAUAAGUACAGGGUGCGAAAGAAGUUUCCCCUGCCUAGAACCAUCUGGGACGGUGAGCAGAAGACGCAUUGUUUCAAAGAGCGAACGCGGAGUCUGUUGCGGGAGUGGUACCUUCAGGACCCCUACCCAAAUCCCAGCAAGAAAAGGGAACUGGCUCAAGCCACUGGACUCACUCCUACACAGGUCGGAAAUUGGUUUAAAAACCGGAGACAACGAGACAGGGCAGCGGCAGCAAAAAACAGGCUCCAGCAUCAAGCAAUAGGGCAGAAUGGCAUGCGGUCCCUUUCAGAAUCCGGCUGCACUCCACGCAGUUCGGCGGAGUCGCCAUCAACUGCAGCUAGUCCAACGACCAGUGUUUCGAGUAUGACAGAGCGAGUCGACACGGGCACGUCGAUUCUUUCAGUAACAUCAAGUGACUCGGAAUGCGACGUAUGAUACGCAAACAGAGAAAUAUAUACAGGAAAAUGGACCUGAAUAAACUUUAUUAAUUAUCGGGGAAUAUGAAAAAGGACCAAUUGAUAUUACUAUUAUAAAAAGGAAAAAAAAAAAGAAAAAAAAACAUAAAAGCACGUGUUUUUCAAGCGCUUUCAAUGGACCCCACACCUUUCCCCCACCCCAUCACUUGCAUGAUAUAUAUAUAACUAAAUAUAUAUUUUUUUUCUUUCAUUUUUUUGUAUAUGGGGAAAUGCCCCACGUUUAUUAUGUCUACCAGGACCACCGUGAAGAGGGAAUUACCAGAAACCGGUGUCCAUCGCCUUUUUUUCUGUUUUAGUCCGAGUGACGACGAGCAGCCAGGAUGCAAUCCUCUUUUCCUUUAUGUUCAUCAGACAAUCAUUUGAGUCUUCUCAAUGAGCGUCAGUUCCCUCUGACCCGGAUUGAAAGCUUGGAGCCUCGGCAUAGCCUGUCAGUGCAACCACUCUUGGCAAGACUGGGCCUUUCCCCUCCCGAAACAGUCCCCUUCUCACAAAUAAGCACAGGACAAGUUAAGAUGUGCAGCUUUGGUUGAGCCUCUCUUCACUUCAUGCCCUCACUGGGAGAUGAUGCUGAACAAGCACACUGUGAACACAUCAAUAAUUAAUCGUAUGUAAGUCAAAUGAUGUUUGAACACUGAACUGGAUUUCCAUUUGUGCUAGAUCACAGAGUUAGAUGGCUCGGAAUGUAAUGGAAUCCGGACUCCCUUGUUCAAUUUUUACCACUGAUACCCUGAAUUUCUAAGGACCGGAUGUAAAAAUCGAAGGGCUUCGCUGGAGCACAGCCUUUCUAAGUUAAACUACAGUCUAAGUGCCCGAGUUGGCGAACCAUUCUAAUAAUGGACAGUAAAACACACUCUUAACUACAGGACUAUUUCUUGGAUUCCCGGCAGGGCUUUAAAUAAUCACAUUGCACUCUCUCUGCUUGCAGCAUUGCCUUUCAAUGUUUUUUAAAAAUAAAUUAAAAAAGUUAUUUAAAGGGAUAGUUCACCCAAAAAUGAAAAUUCUGUCAUCAUUUACUCACCCUCAAGUUGUUCCAAACCUGCAUGAAUUUCUUUCUUCUGCUGAACACAAAAGACGACAUUUUUGAAAAAUUCAUACAGGUUUGGAACAACUUAAGGGUGAUUAAAUGAUGACAGAAUUUUCAUUUUUGGGUGAACUAUCCCUUUUAAAAGAAGAAGAAAGAAAAACAGGCAGUCAUUAAAACAUUUAUGCAUUCAUUAGUAUUCUUUAGAUAUACUUCGUGUCUAUUUAAUUUUGUAAUUCAUAUUAACACAUUAAUUUCCUAUAAGUGCUAACUUCUACAGCCGUAGCCAAAAGUAUUGGCAGUGAUAUACAUUUUGUGUUUCACAAAGUUUGCUGCUUGAGUAUUUGUAGAUUAUUUUUUCACGUUUCUAUGGUAUACUGGAAAACAAUGAUAAGCAUUUCGAAGUUUAUAGGGUUUUAUUGGCAAAAACAAACAAACAAAAAAAAACAUUCAAUAUAUGCAGAGAGUCAAUAUUUACAAUGUUGACCCUUCUUCUUUAUAACCUCUGCAAUUCGCUCUGGCAUGCUGGAUGCUCUGGGCCAAAUCCUGACUGCUGGUGAUCCAUUCUUGCCUUAUUUGUGCUCGGAGUUGAUCACAAUUCUGCUUGUCCACUCGCCUUUUGAGGACUGACCACAGGUGUUAAGGUGUUAAUGGGAUUAAGAUCCGGGUAUUUGCCACAGAUCCAAAAUUUCAAUGUAGUGAUCUCUGAGCCACUUCAUUAUCACUAUUGCCUUGUGACAUGGUGCUCCAUCGUGCUGGAAAAAACACAAAUCAUCACCAAAUUGUUCCUGGAUCAUUAGGAGAAGUUGCUCUUGCAGGAUGUUUUGAUAACAUUCUGUACUCCUGGCAGUAUUUUUAGGGAAGAAUUGUUACACAGCCCACUCCCUUGGAUGAAAAACAACUCCACAAUGGAUGCUUCACUGUUGGCACGACACAGUACUCAUGGUAGCAUUCAUAUUUUCCUCACCGGACGAUCGAUUUUCCAGAUGUCACAAUCAGUCGGAAAGGCACUUAAUCGGAGAAAAUAACCUUGCACCAGUCUUCUGCUGUAAUCCUUGCACUUCUCACAGAGUUUGAAUCUAUCCAAAAGUGUUUGUCUCACUGUGCGUGCAGAUGCACUCACACCCACUUGCUGCCAAUAUUGAGCAGCUCUGCACAAGUGGUGACACAAUCCCAUAGCUGACUCCUCAGGAGGAGACGGUCCUGGAGCUUGCUGGAUACUCUAGGACAUCCUGAGGCCUUCUUCACUGCAGUUUAACCUCUCCUUGAAGUUCUUGAUGAUCCGGUAAAUGGUUCUUUCAGGUGUAAUAUUCUUUGCAGCAGUUUCCUUGCAUGUGAGGCCAUUUUGAUGCAAAGCAAUGAUGGCUGCAUGUCUUUUUUUGGAGGUAACCAUUGCUAACACAAGAACACAAUAAUUAGAUGCACUUCUUCCCUCUUUUUAGCAAUCAGUCUUCAACAGUAAAAUGUGAGUUUUUGUGAUAAAAUUAAUUUCUAAAGUUCAGUCUGAUGACUCUAGAAUACAAUGUGAAUCAACACCACAACAACUGAAACAGCAAACUGCGAAACACAAAAUGUAUGUCACUGCUAUGACUUUUGGCCACAACAUCAGGUCAGGUAAAUUUCAGUUAGUCACUUAGGCCACCUACUGGCCAAACGUGCAAAUCAAACUCAAGAAAAUAAUUAGUAUGAAAACCUUUUUUUUUUUUUUUAGACAUUUGCUAAGAAAUCCACAUCAAGCUAAGUAGGGAGGCUGGGAAAAAAAUGUUAAAAAUCAAUGUAAAUUAGACUUUAUAUUGUAGAUAUAAUAGGCCUAUUAUGUUAUUAUAUAUGUAAAUGUUCAUGGCCCCUUAUGAAUAAGGUUUCGAAUUUAAAGUUCUAAACACCCAGAUGGGUUAGAAUGGGACUUACAUGCCAUUAUUUUUUUUUAAUAAUGUAUAUGAUUAUUCAUACCUGAGUUAGUCCUAUAAUAUCCCCAUGUUUAGGUUCAAAUGAAAAACAUAUGGGUGGAGCUUUAUCUUGGGUAUGUGGAUGCGAAUGAAAAAGCCUCUGUUAGGGUCCAAGCUCCAGAACAGCUCUAGAACAGGGGUGCCAAAGACCAAUAUCCUGCAGAGUUUAGUUAAAACCCCACUUUCACACACACCUGCCUGUAAUUUUCCUGAAAAUCUUAAUAAGCUUGUGCAGAUGUGUACACACUGAUUCCCUAUAUAUGACUGGCAAAGACAAGGAUCGAGGUUCACCUUCUCUUCGCUCCUCAAAGUGAUGAAUGGCUGCGUCCAAGAGCAAGAUACAUCUGAAUCUUAUGAUCGUGUUACAUCCUGCCAACUGAGAUACCUUCAUCUGAUUGAUUUUUGAAGGCAGCAUGGAUCUAUCCUUUUGUUUAGCUCCAACCCUAAUCAAACACACCUGAACAAGCUAAUCAAGGUCUUCAGGAUUACUAGAAAGUUACAGGCUGGUGAGUUAUAAAUAAAUACUAUUUAUACUCAUAUUUACUUAGCAUACCAUACCUCAUAUUCACAUUCCCUUGCAUUGUAUAUAACAUACCUGUACAUAUAUUGUCUAUUUUGUAUAUUGUGUAUUUUUAUAUAUAUUUAUUUUUAUUUACUUAUUUUAUUGUUAUUACCUGUCUUGUUGCUGUCAUUCUGUCUGUGCACUGGAAGCUUCUGUCACCAAGACAAAUUCCUUGUAUGUGUAAGGAUACUCGGCAAUAAAGCUCAUUCUGAUUCAGUUCUGAUUCUCCCUCCAGGACCGAAGUUGCCCAUCCCUGGCCUAUGAUACUAUCCUGUGAGUUCGUUACAGUUGAUAUAAUAAAAAUAUCUUUUUUUUUAACCACUUUUUUCAACCUUUGAUUUCAUUUCUAGCGAGAAAAGAUUAUUAAUUAAAUAUUCGCUUAUUACCAAAGCUCUCUCUAUUUUGUUGAAGAUCAUUACUAUCAUGUUGUAGAUCAAGCCUGUCCGAAAUCAGUCUCGGGAGGUACGUCCAGUUGCCCGAUAGAGCAUGCUUUCAGAUGCAGCCAUGAUGCGUGGGUGCCCUUUUACUGUCAGAGAGCAAUAAAAUACACACACACACACACACACACACACACACACACACACACACACACACACACGCAAUAUAUUAGGAAUAAUGUCAGGACACUUCAUAGUGUAAGCACUGCAUGGGGUCUUUAUUGUUUUUAUUAUUUUAUUUUAUUAUUUUUAUUUAUUUUCCCCAAAAACAGUUGAUAUAUGAUGUCAGAACCGUUGGAUUGAGAACCACCUUACUGUUUCAGAAUCUUUGUAAAAAUGAGCUGAAUCCGGCGCGUCUUUUUUUUUUUUUUUUUCCAAAAUGUUAAAUGUAAAAAAAAAAAAAAAAACUUCCUAUUCAUGGGCAAUGGUUAAAAUAGACAGUUUAACAGAUUGCAUUUAUGCAUUCAUUUUAUUUUUAUUAUUUCUUACUUUUUAUUUAUUUAAAAAAAAAAAAAAAAAAACAGAUGUGAAAGCAGCGGCCAUAUUGCUAUUUAUACCGCAUAUUAUAGCCUGUAUAGCAUAUUCACACUAUAAAUUGGGGGAGCCCUUGCAGUACUGCCGCUGACUCUCUAGGUGUCGCGAACACCCCGUUAAAACCCCAGACUGGGUCAUACAGCUUUCCAGGCCUCCCUGAGAAUAAUUAAAGGGACAGAGUUCACCCAAAAAUGAAAACUGUCAUUAUUUAGCUACUCAUCUUCAAUUUGUUCUAAACUUGUAUGAAUUUCUUCCUUCUGCUGAACACAAAAGAAGUUAUUGUGAAGAAUGUCAGUAACCAAACUGUUGAUGCCCAUUGACUUCCAUAGUAUUUUUUUUUCAUACUAUGCAAGUCAAUGAGGCCCAUCAACUUUUUGGUUACCGAUAUUCUUCAAAAUAUCUUCUUUUGUGUUCAGCAGAAGAAAGAAAUACAGGUUUCAUACAGGUUUUUAAACCAUUUGGAACAAAUUGAGGGUGAAUAAAUGACGGGGUGGACCUAUGGGUGAACUAUCCAGGGUGAGUGAAGGUGAUUGAUAUUAAAUUGUGAUGAACAAUAAAAGUCAAAUGCAGAGUGCAUCCAGUUACAAAUGUUACAAUGUUACAAAACUGACAGUAAAUUACAUCGUGGUUCAUUAAUGGUGAAGCUAUAAUGCCAUUUCCUACAUUCGGUGGCAGUGUUCAACUAGUCUGGUAAUAGUCACUAAUUUGUAAAAAGUGCCAUGUACAGUAAUUAACAACUAUGUGUGGCAUACUUAUGGCAUAUCUAUGGGUAAAUCUGCUUUGACAAAACAUUCAUUUUACCUAGAAAAUGUACUUUUGACACAAAAGAACAAAUACUUUUCCCUUUUCCAUCA